GUAACCCUGCAGUGUGCGGGAGUUGAGUGAGAUAUUGGGCCAACACCAAUAUAAAGGGAGCCCGGUCUCUGGCUGUGCAAACAUAGGCCUCCUUAGAGUGGAAAUGUGCGGCAGUCAGGAGGGCACCCACCUGUGAGAGAGCAGGUUCAACAACCACUCAAUGAGCGGCACUGUGGGGAGCUU
rnacentral:other from 1 species